rnacentral:rRNA from 1 species
AACGAACGCUAUCGGUAUGCUUAACACAUGCAAGUCGGACGGACUAAUUAGGGCUUGCUCCAAUUAGUUAGUGGCAGACGGGUGAGUAACACGCGGGAAUCUGCCCAUCAGUACGGAAUAACUUUUAGAAAUAAAAGCUAAUACCGUAUAUUCUCUACAGAGGAAAGAUUUAUCGCUGAUGGAUGAGCCCGCGUCAGAUUAGGUAGUUGGUGAGGUAACGGCUCACCAAGCCGACGAUCUGUAGCUGGUCUGAGAGGAUGAUCAGCCACACUGGGACUGAGACACGGCCCAGACUCCUACGGGAGGCAGCAGUGGGGAAUAUUGGACAAUGGGCGAAAGCCUGAUCCAGCAAUACCGAGUGAGUGAUAAAGGCCCUAGGGUUGUAAAGCUCUUUUAGCAAGGAAGAUAAUGACGUUACUUGCAGAAAAAGCCCCGGCUAACUCCGUG